rnacentral:rRNA from 1 species
GAUGAACGCUGGCGGCGUGCCUAAUACAUGCAAGUCGAGCGAACAGACGAGGAGCUUGCUCCUCUGACGUUAGCGGCGGACGGGUGAGUAACACGUGGAUAACCUACCUAUAAGACUGGGAUAACUUCGGGAAACCGGAGCUAAUACCGGAUAAUAUAUUGAACCGCAUGGUUCAAUAGUGAAAGACGGUUUUGCUGUCACUUAUAGAUGGAUCCGCGCCGCAUUAGCUAGUUGGUAAGGUAACGGCUUACCAAGGCAACGAUGCGUAGCCGACCUGAGAGGGUGAUCGGCCACACUGGAACUGAGACACGGUCCAGACUCCUACGGGAGGCAGCAGUAGGGAAUCUUCCGCAAUGGGCGAAAGCCUGACGGAGCAACGCCGCGUGAGUGAUGAAGGUCUUCGGAUCGUAAAACUCUGUUAUCAGGGAAGAACAAAUGUGUAAGUAACUAUGCACGUCUUGACGGUAUCUAAUCAGAAAGCCACGGCUAACUACGUG